UUCCUUGUGCUAUGAUAUUGGUAGUAGAAAAAAGUGAACGGUGGCUACGAAUGGAUUGGAGGUGGUUCUUAUGAAUCUAAGUGCCAAAUCUAGGAAAGGAGUAGUCCUUUGUCAACUUUCGAGUGUUUAAUGUUAGUUUUGGCCUCUACUAGCCUAAUCGUAGAGUUGUUGAAAUUAA
rnacentral:sRNA from 1 species